rnacentral:lncRNA from 1 species
CUGGGUUCUGUUGUUGGCAACCAACAGAGUUGUUGUCUUUUCUCGCAUUCAUUAAAAUGCACAAGAAGAAAUUUCUAAUGAGUACUUGCUUCAAAUUCAUACUUCAGUGAAAUAAACAACACCAUACAUAGGAAUGUGAAAGCAAAGUCAUCAUACACUGUUUGCUUCAUUGUAUGAGAAUCAAUGUUUGCAUGAUAAACUGCCCUAAUGGAAGAGGACUCUGAGUUACCUUUUUCGAGCAAAGCCACCUAGGUUACUCUGUUUUCCCCAGAGUGACCCUUCUGUUCUGCAAAUUUUCAGAUUGAAGGGAGUAGCAGUAGAGUAUCAGAAGUAUCAGAAGCAAAAAAGUAAAUGUAUGAUUUGCAAAGCAUAACAAAAUGAAAAAUAAGCUUCUGCAGUCAUGGAAGUUCAGAAUUGGAUAACAACUUAGAUUAUUUAUUCCAACCUCAUCGAAAAAGAGAUAAAGACAUGGAAUUCAGGAAAAGUGGUGAGGAAGCAAAUUCAGAAAUGUAUGACUAGGAAUAUGGAAGCAACUGAAUAUGAGGUUAGAAUGUGAAACUGAAUUUAAAGGUGUAACUUGGGCCUGACUGAAAUAUAGCAAUUUAGCAGAAGUGGGAUUAAUUAUGUAGCCUUACCUAGUUGUACACAAGAUCAGGCUGGGACUGAAAUUCUACAAUAUGACUCCAUACCACCAAAAGAAUUCCAGCCCUCUGAGCAGUAGGAAAGAGAGUUUUGUUUUCUUGUAACCAGAACAUAAACUUUUGAUAGUCAUAACCUUUAUUUCAGUCUAUAAAUUUAGAUAUUGAUGGGGUUCAAAACAUUCUAUCCCCAAAUAUGGCACCAUGGAAUUUGAGCAAACGGCAAAAGUAGAAAGAUCACCCUUUGACUUUCUCCUGCCCUCCUCCUCUGAAAUCAGGUCAAGAGCCCCUCAUUUGAGAGGUGCUGUCCCUAUGCCCAGAGGAAAGAACAUCCUUAUCUAUAAAGACACAAAUAUAUAAAAAAUAAUCUGAACAGUAGGUCUUGUUAAGCGACUCCCCCUGAGUUUAUUACCACUGGAUCAUAUCCCUUUGCUUAAUCACACUUCCGUGCAACUGUCCACUUUUGUUCAAAUCUAAGCAUAAAAAUACAUAGGUUUCUCUGUUUCUUUGGGUCUUUAUAUCUGAAGGCUCCUGGCCUAUGUAAAACUCACAUUAAGUAAAUUUGUAGGCUUGUCUCUUCUUAAUUCGUUUUUAUAAGGACCUCAGUCAUGAGCCUAGAGAUAGAAAAGAAAGAUGUUUCUUUUCCCCUAUAGCAUAUUCAAAAGUGUAAAUGAAGUUUAUUCAGGGUCCUUAGUUUUACCAACUAUUUUUUUCUUUCUUGGAUAUACAAAUCUUUAAUACACUAAAUGCAGCUUCUAUAAUUUUAAACAAAUACAUUCUUCAAACCAAACCAAAGAUAGAAUAACUUUUAUAAAACAGGAGACACUUUAGAGGUAUAGUUAGCAGAUAUUUGUAAUUUUCAUGUGUUUGCAG